rnacentral:tRNA from 1 species
CGGGUAUAGUUUAAUGGGAAAACCCCAGCCUUCCAAGCUGGUGAUGUCGGUUCGAUUCCGUCUACCCGC